UAAUUCACAUAUUUUGUAAAUUUAACUAAAAAAUGUGUUACCCUCAUCAUUGCAUUUUAAUAAAUUAAUUCGAGUUUGAUUUAGUUAUUUAUUAAUUGAGCCUAAUGUAUGCAGGUCGAAUCUAAUAUAUGCAGGUCGAGUCAAACUUAUUUCGGAUGAUCCCUGAACCCGAAUGACACGCACCCCGUUCAUCCCAACUCUAUUGUUUCUUUCGGAUCGAUCUCACAUCCUUAUCCCUUCCGUGUUCAAAGCUCCAGCUUAUCUAUGCUUCAGCCGAUAACCAAACGCAUCCUCCCAGCAUCCUCUUCCUUCGAAACAGAGUACCAGCCAUCAGCCGAAUCCAGCUCCUCCCAACAUCCAAGAUCUUCUUUCGGACUCCCAGCUUCCACCGUGAAAAUCUUCAUCCCGUUCGCGUUCGGAUAUGCUUGAUUCAACCAUCCACAUGAGAAAUCUCACACGGUAUCUCCCCUGUUCUUGCAAUCAACCUUAUCCCAACGUCUCAGCAACCAUCCUUUACCGUCCACAUCAUCCUAAAUCCCAGCAUCCCCUGUUCCCAAUCGGAUGAACAUUCCAAACAACCACUCCCAGAACCAAGUUCAGAUCCCAUCCUCUCCACGAUAGCUUCUUUCCGAGCUUCACGGCAUCCAAAUGCAUCUUCCCCUGUUUCAAAACUAUCAACCUAGUGUUCCGAAUUGAUCUUCUUCAAGAUUCCUCCCACGUCCACGAACAAACUUCCUUGCAUCCUCAUCCCGUGAACAACCAAACUAUCCUCCCUUGUUUCAACUUCAACGUCCUCAACCGAACCCAACAAUCUCCCAGCCAUCUUUCGGAUCCCAUGGAAUCUCCUAGCAUCCCAUAGUCAGC
rnacentral:lncRNA from 1 species